GAAUUCAUUGCGGUCGCCAAGAUGAUUCUUGCCGAACUGACCGGUAGCGUAGC
rnacentral:sRNA from 1 species